GAUGAAGAACGUAGCGAAAUGCGAUAAGUAAUGUGAAUUCCAGAAUUCAGUGAAUCAUCGAAUCUUUGAACGCACAUUGCGCCCGCCAGUAUUCUGGCGGGCAUGCCUGUUCGAGCGUCAUUUCAACCAUCAAGCCCCAGGCUUGUGUUGGGGACCUGCGGCUGCCGCAGGCCCUGAAAACCAGUGGCGGGCUCGCUGUCACACCGGGCGUAGUAGAUUUUAUCUCGCUCAGGGCGUGCUGCGGGUUCCGGCCGUUAAAAAGCCUUUUUUACCCAAGGUUGACCUCGGAUCAGGUAGGAAGACCCGCUGAACUUAAGCAUAUCAAUAAGCGGAGGA
rnacentral:misc_RNA from 1 species